ACGUAGGGUGCGAGCGUUAAUCGGAAUUACUGGGCGUAAAGCGUGCGCAGGCGGUGAGCUGUGUCCGAUGUGAAAGCCCCGGGCUUAACCUGGGAAUGGCAUUGGAAACUGGCUCGCUGGAGUGUGGCAGAGGGGGGUGGAAUUCCGCGUGUAGCAGUGAAAUGCGUAGAGAUGCGGAGGAACACCGAUGGCGAAGGCAGCCCCCUGGGCUAACACUGACGCUCAGGCACGAAAGCGUGGGGAGCAAACAGGA
rnacentral:rRNA from 1 species